rnacentral:tRNA from 1 species
GCCGUGUUAGCUUAGCUGGUGGAGCGGUGGACUGUUAAUCCACAGGUCGCAGGUUCGAACCCUGCACACGGCGC